AGCUUGCUCCUUUGAAGUUAGCGGCGGACGGGUGAGUAACACGUGGGUAACCUACCUAUAAGACUGGAAUAACUUCGGGAAACCGGAGCUAAUGCCGGAUAAUAUUUGGAACCGCAUGGUUCUAAAGUGAAAGAUGGUUUUGCUAUCACUUAUAGAUGGACCCGCGCCGUAUUAGCUAGUUGGUAAGGUAACGGCUUACCAAGGCGACGAUACGUAGCCGACCUGAGAGGGUGAUCGGCCACACUGGAACUGAGACACGGUCCAGACUCCUACGGGAGGCAGCAGUAGGGAAUCUUCCGCAAUGGACGAAAGUCUGACGGAGCAACGCCGCGUGAGUGAUGAAGGUUUUCGGAUCGUAAAACUCUGUUAUUAGGGAAGAACAUAUGUGUAAGUAACUGUGCACAUCUUGACGGUACCUAAUCAGAAAGCCACGGCUAACUACGUGCCAGCAGCCGCGGUAAUACGUAGGUGGCAAGCGUUAUCCGGAAUUAUUGGGCGUAAAGCGCGCGUAGGCGGUUUCUUAAGUCUGAUGUGAAAGCCCACGGCUCAAUCGUGGAGGGUCAUUGGAAACUGGAAAACUUGAGUGCAGAAGAGGAAAGUGGAAUUCCAUGUGUAGCGGUGAAAUGCGCAGAGAUAUGGAGGAACACCAGUGGCGAAGGCGACUUUCUGGUCUGUAACUGACGCUGAUGUGCGAAAGCGU
rnacentral:rRNA from 1 species